rnacentral:lncRNA from 1 species
UAAACGAAAUAAAUAAGCACUACUUAAAGAUGUAAUAUUAUUACCUUAAAAAAAUAUUCGGAUUUGUAUGCGGUUGCUAAAUAAGCAGCAGUAUUUGCCUCGACUACAUCAUCUGUAGCUAGUUAUAUCCUAACUCUUAGUAUGGUCCAUUCUCAUAACCUUCAUCUUCCACAACUUCUUCUGUAUAUACAAAUCUCUUAGCUUUAGGUUUACUAAAAAUACUCCAUCCUUAAUUGAAAACAUCAUCACAUAGUACACCAUAUUUAUGCUUGAGAUACUUAGAUGUAAGGCUCAUGUAGUCACCCUCAAUCUCGAGUUAUUAUAUAAAAAGUCGGAGUUUAUUUUCUUUUUCCAAAUAAAUAAAACAUCAGUAGCAUACAAAUAAUUUACUUGCCUAAUGAUCUUUAUAUGCUAGAAUUAUUCAAAUUUGAAGGAAUAUAUAAAAUAUGUUCAAAAACUUAUGCGAGUCGUCGAUUACAACAAAAUGAGUCAACUUACCUGAUAGCGGAUUUGAAAUUACACCAUGUCCAGUACUCUUAGAAACAUGCACAUCUGCAAUAAUGAUAUAAUGCAAGAUAUUUUACUAAAGGAAAUUUUCAUUUGAAGUAAUUCAUUUUCUAAGGAAAGUGAAGAACUAAACUACUAAAGUAUGAGCUAGAGAAGGAAAAAUUUGUCACCAUAAUAAGUAAAAGAGAAGCAUUCAUUAAAGACCAUGUACUGUCUUGAUAUUCCUGAAUAUGGAAAUGAGAAAAAUGUUAGGAAGUCCCUGACUGAAUAAUCCGCUUUAUGUUCUCCCAUCAGCGCCGGCUCUAACGUGAUGAGGGGUAAGGCAUAGGCCUUAGGCCUGCAAAUAUUGGG